rnacentral:rRNA from 1 species
GACGUAGGGCGCGAGCGUUGUCCGGAUUUAUUGGGCGUAAAGAGCUCGUAGGCGGCUUGUUGCGUCGACUGUGAAAUCUCCGGGCUUAACCCGGAAAGGUCAGCCGAUACUGCGGGGCUAGAGUGCAGAAGGGGCAACUGGAAUUCUCGGUGUAGCGGUGAAAUGCGUAGAUAUCGAGAGGAACACCUGCGGCGAAGGCGGGUUGCUGGGCUGACACUGACGCUGAACUGCGAAAGCUAGGGGAGCGAACGGG